UGAGGAAUAUUGCGCAAUGGGGGCAACCCUGACGCAGCAACGCCGCGUGAGUGUGGAAGGUUUUCGGACCGUAAAGCUCUGUCGAGCGGGAAGAAAUGCAUGGUGGCUAAUAUCCAUCAUGCUUGACGGUACCGCUAAAGGAAGCACCGGCUAACUCCGUGCCAGCAGCCGCGGUAAUACGGGGGGUGCGAGCGUUGUUCGGAAUUAUUGGGCGUAAAGAGCGUGUAGGCGGCCGAAUAAGUCAGAUGUGAAAUCCCUGGGCUUAACC
rnacentral:rRNA from 1 species